GAUCAUGGCUCAGGAUGAACGCUAGCUACGGGCUUAACACAUGCAAGUCGAGGGGCAGCAUGGUCUUAGCUUGCUAAGGCCGAUGGCGACCGGCGCACGGGUGGGUAACACGUAUCCAACCUGCCGUCUACUCUUGGACAGCCUUCUGAAAGGAAGAUUAAUACAAGAUGGCAUCAUGAGUCCGCAUGUUCACAUGAUUAAAGGUAUUCCGGUAGACGAUGGGG
rnacentral:rRNA from 1 species